UUUUUAUUACUCCUAAAUGUUUAUCGCAUUAUAACCUAAAUAAAUACCAUUAGCCGUUUGUAAUAUAUGUAUAGAUUAAAGUGCACGUAUUUCUUGCAGAAAAAGUCGGUGUUAUGUUUUAUGAUUUUUUAAGAAUAACUAAGAAAUCGGAUUUCUGUCCUAGGGAAAAGAACUCAGAUUUGAGCCGUUUACAUGAACAAUCGAGGAGAGAAACACCUGAGCAAAUGCUCUAGAUUGGUUUGAUUAUGGGUCUAAUAAAUAUUUUACGUAUUGCGUAGCAGGCGAUUGACCGCUAUUGUGCAGAAGAACAGCGGUGGCUGUUUCUGCUGAAUCAGCGGCUGGCGACGCGCCAAGGUUUUGAUGGUCAUUGCAGCUAUCAAUGGAUGGUCAUCCAGAGGUAUAUUGAACCCAACAAAGAUCGAAGAGGCGAACUAAUGCUGAAUUAUACAUAAACAAUGGAAUGAUUGAAAUCAGCUUCUUGUUUCGAUUAACAUUGUACCUUAAUUCAUUGAUAUCAACUAUUGUUUUGAAUACAUUUUGUUUAUAUAAUUUACUUUGUCUAUGACUUGAUCCUUCAGUACUAUGAGGUAUGUCUAUGACUUGACCCUUCAGUACUACGGUGUAUGCUUCGGUAGUUAUGAUAUGUUUGGGUGUUUGGAAGGCAGAAUAUGAAAGCAUACGACUUGUACAUUACAACUGAGUUGCUACAUGUCCUGUAUAUUCCGAAUCUGCCGACAUUUUGACCGCUAUAUUCACGUAGGUUCCGCUCGAUAGUUCCUUGUGCAUUGUCAAUGUGCACGGAGUCGGGGACGUUCUCUCCCGAGUAUAAAAAUCGGAGAAAAAUUUUUGUGAACUGGUUUUGUUAUCAACAGAUAUGAAGAUUUACAAAUUGGAGAGAAACGCUAAUUAAAUGAGCCAAAGGGCAUUAUAUUUGACCUCUAUAUAUUUUGAUAUCAAUAUCUAAAUGUUUUAAAUUAAUGCUUUUGAUUAUUAGCAUGAGAUUUAAAUAAUUCAAAGUCAUAAAUAAACAUGUAUAUCUAUAUGGGGUUCAUGAAAUUAUCGAGCCAGAGAUAUGCAAGUGCUAUUUAAGGGUAAAAUUUUACAUGAAGCUUACUUAGACUUGUCAAAAUAUUUAUCUAGUAAUACUUAUAAACACUCAUCAAUACAUUUUUGUAUCAAUCAAAUAAGAAUAUUUGAAAUAGAAAUGGCAAACAGGAAGCAGUUAUGAAAGAGAAAAUUUUACCCAUCCCUUUAAAGGUACCAGUGCUCCAAUUUUUAUGUUUUUUUUUUUAUUAAAGUUAUCAAUACUACGACAUUCUAUGAUUAAAAUGGAUAUAGAAACUACGUUUGUAGAGAUGUAAAUGAAAAUAGUUUCAAAAGAUUUUACACACUUUCUUCCUAAACCCGAACCGAAUGCAGACCACGUGACUAUCCUAUGAGCAUACCCCGUGCUAUUUUCCCAGCAAUUGUUGGAUCUGUGCAUAUUUAACUACCCUUUAGUGUUUUAUACAUGAGCUGACAUAAUGAAUUUAGUCUGAUAUGUCCUUGUUCUUAAUAUACAGACAGUCAAUGAACUCACCAACGCCUUUGGUUUAUUCCGACCGCGUGUGAAGAAUGCACGCGCAAUGCCAUACAUUAUGUAAGCUAAUUUAGUUAAGAAUGAACUAAAGAUUUAGACCUGAUCCUUUCAUCUGGGAUGAAAUCAAAAGUUUUACGAUGCAUGAAUUAUUAUAUAUCAUAUACAUUAGCUAUGGUUGUUUGGAACCAACAACAUUAACUUUUUGUACGUUUGUGAAAUCUAAAUUUAAAAAAUCUACCAAACUUUACGUUUGGGGAUUAAUUUGGGACCUGUGUAAGUUACUGUAUAAAAUGUUCGCACUUUUAUUCAGCUUGUAGGUAAAAUGUCCAGAGUUUACAAAUCGAUAAAUUCUUAAAAAGAAUGUUUAAUCCUAUAUUGUUUUAUUUUUUUUAUUCGAUAAGGUCAAAAUUACCCAAUAUGAAUGUGGUUCGGGGGCAUGUAAUGUCCUUGAGAUCUGAUAUACAUAAUGGGGUAUUGUAUUGAUCUGUUUCAAUCUUCUUUGGUCUGUAACUUUGACCUUGGUCAUAACAUUUGAACUAUAUUCUCUACAAUAAAACAGAUUACUUUUUUGAUGAAUUGUUAAGGUCACGUUCAUUGUUGAAGGUCAAGGUCAUCCAUCAAGAAUGUGGUCAAUCUCGGGGACAUUGUGUUUUACAAACACACCUUGUUUUUUAUCAGUAAUUGGUUUGAAAGUACUUCCCUUUUGACUUUCAUAUACGUGUAAUUGAUGUAACACAAAGAAACGAAAUCAUGUGUCAGAGGUACUUAUGCUUAGCCGCAGCUCCUAUUUAAUCAAUAAAACUGAAGAUAGCUUUAAUACAAAAUUUUGUCAUAUUAUCUUCUUUAUAGAUGCAGAUCAGUAAGGGAUGAAUUUUAACUAAUAGUCCUGGAAACGUUUACCUCGGAAGAAAUGAAGGGGGAAAACCGUGAAAUUCUCGAUAACAAAUUAAUCCCAUUUUAAGCCUUCUCCUUUGAUUACGUUAAACAAACUAGGAACCGGUAUAAUUAGGUAUUGAUUAGGCCUUCUAUAAAAAUUGUUCCUGUAGGUAAUAAAACAAAUGUCACUCGUUCCGUGCACGUCGGCCGCAGUGCAGUAGAGCAUGUUUCUACAAAGAGGUGUAAAUAUUUGAUAUUCAGAAGGGAUCCAACACGAGUCUGUUAAAUUUCACACACAAUACGCUACAAGGUGCUUGUAAGAUAAAUCAUAUUAACUUGGCUGUUACAGAACAAGUCUCCUCCGACAUUGAUUUUAGGUGGUGUGUAUAUAUAUAUAUAUAUAUAUAUUAACACUGUUUAGACAUUAUAUGAUAUGAUAAUAUAACUUCAUAUAUAUUGAACUCAUGGCCUUGGGCUUACCACUGCUUUUUGUCAGAAAUAUAAAUGAACUACUGUGUAUAUGGUGGUGAAGAUUUAUUGAUGAAAAGUUACCUCAGUACCCCUUGCUUGUUGUAAGAGGCGACUAAAUGGGAUGGUCGUUCAAAUGAGACCGCAAAAACCGAGACACCGUGUCACAUCAGGUGUGGCACGAUAAAGAACUCUCCCUGCUCAAAGGCCGUAAGCGCUGAGCAUAGGCCUAAAUGUUGCAAGCCUUCACCGGCAGUGGUGACGUCUCCAUAAAUUAUGAGUGAAAAAUUCUCGAGGGGGACGUUAAACAAUAUACAAUCAAUUUAUAUACAAACCUUACAAUCAAAUAUAUCAAACUCGGCAAAUUAUGUAAAUUCGGUUAUCUUUGAAAAUAAUAAGUUCAAGACCCUCCUCCAAAGCCUUCUUUAUUUGCAAUGGCUGAUUGUAGUUGAUAUGAGUAGUGAAAAUGGGGAAAAAUUGAAUUCAAGAGAAGAGUAGUAAUUCAAAUGAAGACCGCAUACACUUUGUACUCCGGAUGAUGUACUAAUGUGACCUUCAUGCAUGUAAAUUUAUUAAGGUUACAAUUACUUUGAGGUUCAAUCCAAGGUCAGUUUGUACAGUAUUGUAUGUUAGAUUUGUACAGUAUUGUAUGUUAGAGUUGUACAGUAUUGUAUGUUAGAGUUGUACAGUAUUGUAUGUUAGAGUUGUGGUUAACAUAGAGGCCUGGAAGGACAUGUGAAGUGUAGUAAAAAAAAAAAAAAAAAAAAAAAAAAACAACCAUGAGAACUCCCUGAUUUACAAGCGAAGCACAUCAUCUAGAUUAGAUCCCAUAUAACACAGUCAUACUUCGGUAAUCAAAUUGAGGCCGUCAUUCAUAGUGAGAAUAUUUUCUAUACAGAUUGUGGGCACAAAUUUUCAUAUAUUUGCUUCUGUCAGCAUCGUAGUAUCGACAACCAUACAGAACAGGAAAGGGUUAUCUAAUGCAAUUACGGCGUGUAGAAAUACUCGGGUAUAGUUUUAAUACAAUAAUUUGAUUGCAUCGCCACUUCUUAUCAAAUUCAAUAGAUUUUCUUUUUUCUUGGAGACGGAAAAAGAGGAUUUGAUGGUUCAGAUGAAUCGAACUCGGAAUGACAAAUCAAAUCGGCGAGAGGCUGCGUAUUGUGCAAUGUCGUUGGUACAGUAAUGGUUUUUCUGUACAAUAAAUCGUGGAACCUGGUCGAUCAGCAGCGUAUAAUUUGAUGUCAGUAAAACCAUUAAACGAAGAAUGAAUGGUUUUAAUUUCAUUCAUAAUGACACAAGAUUACAGUGUUUCAACAGAAUUUAACCAGGUCUUGGUAAUUACAAUCGGCUCGUUUGAAUAUUAAACCAGAACCAGUAUUG